rnacentral:rRNA from 1 species
GACGAACGCUGGCGGCGUGCUUAACACAUGCAAGUCGAACGUGAUNNUUAUGGAAAUUCUUUCGGGAAUGGAAAUGAAAUGAAAGUGGCGAANNGGUGAGUAACACGUGAGCAACCUACCUUACACAGGGGGAUAGCCGUUGGAAACGACGAUUAAUACCGCAUGAGACCACAGAAUCGCAUGAUAUAGGGGUCAAAGAUUUAUCGGUGUAAGAAGGGCUCGCGUCUGAUUAGCUAGUUGGAAGGGUAAAGGCCUACCAAGGCGACGAUCAGUAGCCGGUCUGAGAGGAUGAACGGCCACAUUGGAACUGAGACACGGUCCAAACUCCUACGGGAGGCAGCAGUGGGGAAUAUUGCACAAUGGGGGGAACCCUGAUGCAGCGACGCCGCGUGAGCGAAGAAGGUUUUCGAAUCGUAAAGCUCUGUCCUAUGAGAAGAUAAUGACGGUAUCAUAGGAGGAAGCCCCGGCUAAAUACGUGCCAGCAGCUGCGGUAAUACGUAUGGGGCGAGCGUUGUCCGGAAUUAUUGGGCGUAAAGGGUACGUAGGCGGUUUUUUAAGUCAGGUGUGAAAGCGUGAGGCUUAACCUCAUUAAGCACUUGAAACUGGAAGACUUGAGUGAAGGAGAGGAAAGUGGAAUUCCUAGUGUAGCGGUGAAAUGCGUAGAUAUUAGGAGGAAUACCGGUGGCGAAGGCGACUUUCUGGACUUUUACUGACGCUCAGGUACGAAAGCGUGGGGAGCAAACAGG